UCCUACGGGGGGCAGCAGUGGGGAAUAUUGCGCAAUGGGCGAAAGCCUGACGCAGCGACGCCGCGUGAGGGAUGAAGGUCUUCGGAUCGUAAACCUCUGUCAGCAGGGAAGAACGGUCACUGUGCUAAUCAGCAGUGAAUUGACGGUACCUGCAAAGGAAGCACCGGCUAACUCCGUGCCAGCAGCCGCGGUAAUACGGAGGGUGCGAGCGUUAAUCGGAUUUACUGGGCGUAAAGCGCUCGUAGGCGGUAUGUCAAGUCAAGGGUGAAAUCCCCGGGCUCACCGUGGGAACUGCCUUUGAAACU
rnacentral:rRNA from 1 species